rnacentral:rRNA from 1 species
UACGGAGGGUGCAAGCGUUAUCCGGAUUCACUGGGUUUAAAGGGUGCGUAGGCGGACAGGUAAGUCAGUGGUGAAAUCUCUGGGCUUAACCCAGAAACUGCCGUUGAUACUAUUUGUCUUGAAUAUCCUAGAGGUAGGCGGAAUAUGUCAUGUAGCGGUGAAAUGCUUAGAUAUGACAUAGAACACCGAUAGCGAAGGCAGCUUACUACAGGAUGAUUGACGCUGAGGCACGAAAGCGUGGGGAGCAAACAGG